rnacentral:rRNA from 1 species
CACGUAGGGUGCGGGCGUUGUCCGGAAUUAUUGGGCGUAAAGAGCUCGUAGGCGGUGUGUCGCGUCGGCCGUGAAAACCUGCAGCUUAACUGUGGGCUUGCGGUCGAUACGGGCAUCACUGGAGUUCGGCAGGGGAGACUGGAAUUCCUGGUGUAGCGGUGAAAUGCGCAGAUAUCAGGAGGAACACCGAUGGCGAAGGCAGAUCUCUGGGCCGUAACUGACGCUGAGGAGCGAAAGCAUGGGGAGCGAACAGG